UCUGUUUCCUCUUUCUAGCCAGAAAACAAGUAUGCGGACUGGCGUAUUUGUCUUCCCCCUCACCUUGUCCCAAGUGGAAGGUGGAAAACCCCGAAGGGGCGUUCAUCAUUCCCUAGAACAAGUGCAGAAUCCCAGCAGCUCAUUGACGCACGGUGCAGAAAUCGAGCAGGAGGAGAAGAGGAGCAGGUGAGCAGGGCCCACGAGCGACGUGCCGGCAGGAGAGCUCCUCGCCCAGCAGCGGUGACCCUCAGAAGGAACCCACACCUGUGUCCCAAUGCUCGGUCCGGAAGCCUCCGGGACCUGGCAGGUCAGCUGGCUCCAGCUCCAACUCACAGGAGGAGACGUCUACAUCCGCAGGAAACUAUUGUGAGAAGAAAAGGGAAAGCGAGAAUAAAACCUUUCUGCUGCUGAAAAAUUUUCCAGCAAGUUACCUAUGAGCAGAAGAAAUCUGUAAAACCUGUUUAACCUUCUUAAAGAGUUGAAAAUUCAUGUUGCAUCAGACAUUCAAAACCUCCAUCACAGUCCCCAGUUGUGAGAGUACAUGUGCUACAUGUUUUAUGAGGAAUGUUUAACAUUACCUCCAAGUCAGUUCUACCAAGUACUGCUGAUGUGGUUUCCUAAAGGAAACAUUCUGCGCUGUGCUAUGAUGAGUUACUGCUUGGCAAAUAGGUUUGUAAGGAAUUAGAACCAUGUGUAUGAACAGCACCUUUGUAUAACAAGAUGUAAAAUUAAAGACAUGGAGUGUCUCAGAUCACUCAGCAUUUUAAAAAACUGCCCAGUACUACAUCUAAAGCUGUGGUUUAUAUGUUUAACUUUCAUGGCACAGAAUGAAUUAAAAUGGAAAAACAAAUAAAAAACUCAGACCAAAAGUAGACAAUGAAAAGGAAGCUAGGAUGUGAGAAAUGACCAAAUUCAGGAAAGAAAUGGAAGAAAAAUAUAAAAAACCGACUAGAAGCCAAGAUUAAAUUACAGAUCCAAGGGAAAGAAUCUCUGAAAUUAUAAUUUUGAAACUGAAAUGAGAAGUAUUGAAUUAGGGAAGGAAGAACCAAGGUAAUGAAUGUGAUAUAAUUCAUGAAUUAAAAGACCACACUUUAAGGGUGAGAGAACACUUGCCUGGUAUGCGUGAGAUCCUGGCUUUGAUCCCUGGGACCACACCAGAGACUCCCUUUAAGGAUGCACAUACAUCUACCCAGAGCAAAUGCAUGAAAAGAGGUCUGUGCAAAUGGAGAAAGCAAAGUGAGCAGGAGCAACUAUACCUACAUCAGGUAAAACAGACUAUAAACUGAAACUAUAAAAAGAGACAAAUCUGAUCAUUCUACAAUGAUAAAGGGCUCGACUCAGCAAGAAGACAGAAACACUGUCAUACAUAUAUAGCUAGUGCUAAUUUGUAAUUGCUAAAAUGUGGAAGCAACCCAAAUGUCCAUCCACUGAGGAUUGGAUAAGAAAAUUGUGGUACUUUUAUAGAAUGGAAUAUUACUCAGCUGUAAAGAAAGAUAAACUCGAGGCUUUUAUAGGUAAAUGGUCACAACUAGAAACCAUACUCAUAAGUGAAAUAAAUCAAACAUACAUGUGCA
ensembl:lincRNA